rnacentral:rRNA from 1 species
GACGAACGCUGGCGGCGUGCCUAAUACAUGCAAGUCGAGCGAAGUUUUUCUGGUGCUUGCACUAGAAAAACUUAGCGGCGAACGGGUGAGUAACACGUAAAGAACCUGCCUCAUAGACUGGGACAACUAUUGGAAACGAUAGCUAAUACCGGAUAACAGUAUUUCUCGCAUGAGAGAUAUUUAAAAGUUGGUUAUGCUGACACUAUGAGAUGGCUUUGCGGUGCAUUAGCUAGUUGGUGGGGUAAAGGCCCACCAAGGCGAAGAUGCAUAGCCGACCUGAGAGGGUGAUCGGCCACACUGGGACUGAGACACGGCCCAGACUCCUACGGGAGGCAGCAGUAGGGAAUCUUCCGCAAUGGGCGAAAGCCUGACGGAGCAACGCCGCGUGAGUGAAGAAGGAUUUCGGUUCGUAAAGCUCUGUUGUUAGGGAAGAAUGGAUAUGUAGUAACUAUACAUGUAAGAGACGGUACCUAACCAGAAAGCCACGGCUAACUACGUG